rnacentral:rRNA from 1 species
GACGAACGCUGGCGGCGUGCUUAACACAUGCAAGUCGAACGAUGAAGCACUUCGGUGUGGAUUAGUGGCGAACGGGUGAGUAACACGUGAGCAACCUGCCCCUUUCUCUGGGAUAACCGCCGGAAACGGUGGCUAAUACCGGAUAUUCACUUUUCCGUGCAUGCGGUUUGGUGGAAAGAUUUUUUGGUGGGGGAUGGGCUCGCGGCCUAUCAGCUUGUUGGUGGGGUAAUGGCCUACCAAGGCUUCGACGGGUAGCCGGCCUGAGAGGGCGACCGGCCACACUGGGACUGAGAUACGGCCCAGACUCCUACGGGAGGCAGCAGUGGGGAAUAUUGCACAAUGGGGGAAACCCUGAUGCAGCAACGCCGCGUGCGGGAUGACGGCCUUCGGGUUGUAAACCGCUUUCAGCAGGGGCGAAUUCAGACGGUACCUGCAGAAGAAGCACCGGCUAACUACGUG